UUUCGGAUGAGCCUCAGCUGCACACAGGGGAAUUCACUGACUGAAGAUAUCUUUACCAGCUGGUGCUGCAGACGACCACCUUGUGCCCAAACCAGCAACCAACUCACAAGUCAAGGGAAUCAUGAGGGUUCAGAGUGCCUGUUUGCUGUUGCUGCUGCUCUGUGCUGCUGUGCUCUCGCAAACUUACAAUGAUUUCAAAAAGAAACACAUCCUUCCAGAAAACGGCUCUCGUAAAUGUGAUGAUAUGAUGAAAAACGUUAAUGGCAUUAAUCAGUGCAAGCGAAUUAAUACGUUUAUCAACCAGAAAGCAGAAAAGGUUAAGGCUUUGUGUAAAGGUAAAAAAAAUGAAUACAUCACCCACAAAUUUGAUGUUAUUGACUGUAAGAUGAAAAGUGUGAAGCCUUGUAAAUACAAGUCUCUAGCACUCAAAGGAAAGAAGAAGAAGGUAAAAUGUGAAAAUGGCCUACCAGUACAUCUUGAGCAGGGCAUAUAUGACAAUUUUGAUUAUGACAGUGAAAAUUAAAGAUUGUUGUGCUUUUUUCAGUUUUCUUUGUAAUGCUGUACGAUCGUUACCUUCCAGUAUAAAGCGCAUUGACACAACUGCUGUUGUGAUCUGGCGCUGUUUAAAUAAAUCUGAAUGGAACUGAACAAAGAAUUUUACCUGUGCCACAAACCCUUUAAUGUUGCCAUUGCUAUAUUUUGAUUAUUUGUCUUCGAUUGUUUCAUUGUUUAUUCAUGCAUUUUUCUGGACUUUUUUGUGUAACCUUUAUGGGUUACACGUGUUAAAAAUGUAUUUGCAAGUGAUGAAAUUUGCUAAUGAGUAUUUUUGAGUUUUAUCUGCAUAUUUCUGAAAAAUAAACCACAUUCACAUUUUGCUUUAAAGCACAAAAUGAGCGAGUACUUCUCUGAGGACCGUCUCCAGACAUCGGUUCUCUCUAUGCAUGUCUGCAGCUACCUGAAAGGCUUCUCUGAUGUUGUUUUUUGAUCAUUCGAAAUCCGCUUGUGUGAUAA